rnacentral:lncRNA from 1 species
CUUCACAAAAUCUACUUGCCCUGUUGAUAACUUCAAUCCCUUAAAACUACUGACUCUCUCAAUGUCUUCAGAAAACCCUGUUAUUAAUCACAGGGAUAUCAAAAAAUUUAACACCCACCAUCCAAAAUGUACUACGAGAGAGGUCCCCAAGCUCGCAGAAGUUGAGCUAGCUUCGCGAACCAGCAGCCUCUCCCCACAAGUAAAAAACACCCAAAUGCCUUUUUCUUAUAGGGGGAGACCUCAAACAACCUGCCAAGGCCAAAAAAAUAAUAAAAAGUUGCAUGAUCGGAUAUUGAAGAAAAAGAAGCAAUUCUCCUAACACAAAGAAAUUGAAAUUCCUAGAAACAAAAAAUUAUACAAAUACAAAAGUUGAAUUUGAAAAGUAGAAGUUUCCGUGCAAACAAAAACGCUGCAGUGAUCGUCAAUUGAACAGAGAUACAGAUAUAACAAGAAUUUCAGAAAAGAAAUUGCAAACAAAGGUACAAUCUUUUUUGAGUUUUUUCACUUCCUUCAAAACCAAGAAACGGAUCAUCACCUCAAAAUUGUAAUCACAUCAGCAAUCAAAUGAAAUUCCAAACCCCACAAAAAUAAAGAAACUUUUAUUGCAAUUGCACCUCUCUAACUCCCUUCUAGCCCAGCAAAUAGCAGUUAGAGAAACGGAUAACAAAAUAUAAUAAAAAAUUGAAAGAACAACAAACACGAGAAUAUACGAGGCAAGAUGAUUCUGGAGAGAGAGGAGCCGAAUAAUCAGAGGUCAAUGACA